UCCGAGUUGACCCCGGCAGUCUCCUAUGAGUCCCCACCAUGACGUGCUGGCAACAUAGAACGAGGGUUGCGCUCGUUGCGGGACUUAACCCAACAUCUCACGACACGAGCUGACGACGACCAUGCACCACCUGUGCACGGCCCUUACGGACCCCACAUCUCUGCGGGAUUUCCGUGCAUGUCAAGCCUAGGUAAGGUUCUUCGCGUUGCAUCGAAUUAAUCCACAUCAUCCACCGCUUGUGCGGGUCCCCGUCAAUUCCUUUGAGUUUUAGCCUUGCGGCCGUACUCCCCAGGCGGAACACUUAAUGCGUUAGCUUCGACACCGCAGGGGUCAAUACCCGCAACGUCUAGUGUUCAUCGUUUACAGCGUGGACUAC
rnacentral:misc_RNA from 1 species